AGAAGUGGAGCAAUCCAUGAGUAAAGUGGCGUACGGGUGAGUAACACGUGGAUCAUCUACCUCCUAGUGGGGAAUAACCCUGGGAAACCGGGGCUAAUACCGCAUAAGCCUGGAAAGGGAAAGCAGCAAUGCGCUGGGAGAGGAGUCCGCGGCCGAUUAGCUAGUUGGUAGGGUAAAGGCCUACCAAGGCAAUGAUCGGUAGCCGGCCUGAGAGGGCACACGGCCACACUGGCACUGAAACACGGGCCAGACUCCUACGGGAGGCAGCAGUGGGGAAUCUUGCACAAUGGGGGCAACCCUGAUGCAGCGACGCCGCGUGAGCGAUGAAGCCCUUCGGGGUGUAAAGCUCUUUCGGCAGGAACGAUAAUGACGGUACCUGAAGAAGAAGCUGCGGCUAACUACGUGCCAGCAGCCGCGGUAAUACGUAGGCAGCAAGCGUUGUUCGGAGUUACUGGGCGUAAAGAGUGGGUAGGCGGUUCUCUAAGUUCGGUGUGAAAUCUCCCGGCUCAACUGGGAGGGUGCGCCGGAAACUGGAGGGCUUGAGUAUGGGAAGGGAAAGCGGAAUUCCUGGUGUAGCGGUGAAAUGCGUAGAUAUCAGGAGGAACACCUGUGGUGAAGACGGCUUUCUGGACCAUCACUGACGCUGAGACACGAAAGCGUGGGUAGCAAACAGGAUUAGAUACCCUGGUAGUCCACGCCCUAAACGAUGCAUACUUGGUGUGAGCCGUUC
rnacentral:rRNA from 1 species